rnacentral:rRNA from 1 species
GAUGAACGCUGCGGCGUGCCUAAUACAUGCAAGUCGAGCGAACGGACGAGAAGCUUGCUUCUCUGAUGUUAGCGGCGGACGGGUGAGUAACACGUGGAUAACCUACCUAUAAGACUGGGAUAACUUCGGGAAACCGGAGCUAAUACCGGAUAAUAUUUUGAACCGCAUGGUUCAAAAGUGAAAGACGGUCUUGCUGUCACUUAUAGAUGGAUCCGCGCUGCAUUAGCUAGUUGGUAAGGUAACGGCUUACCAAGGCAACGAUGCAUAGCCGACCUGAGAGGGUGAUCGGCCACACUGGAACUGAGACACGGUCCAGACUCCUACGGGAGGCAGCAGUAGGGAAUCUUCCGCAAAGGGCGAAAGCCUGACGGAGCAACGCCGCGUGAGUGAUGAAGGUCUUCGGAUCGUAAAACUCUGUUAUUAGGGAAGAACAUAUGUGUAAGUAACUGUGCACAUCUUGACGGUACCUAAUCAGAAAGCCACGGCUAACUACGUG